UAAAAAUCAAGUCACAAUAUCGAAACAGUAAAAAAGAAAAAAAAAAAUCUAACGAUACAUUUCCGUUCAAAAUAUUCGUACUUCGCAUACCCUUCGCACGCGCUACAGGGGAUACAGCGAAAGCCCCAAACCCAACGUUCGAAAAAAAUUCAAAUUCCAGGCUCGGAGUCUCCGAGCCUACUAAAAUUAGGCUCGGGAGGAGUGACAAUAACAAAAAAAAAAAAGGCAAAAAAAAUCUAAAUUUACAAUUUUGGUCCUCCAACUAGAGGCCACGGACAUAAUUUAUCAUAAUAUUUUACUCAAUCUUUUAUAUAUAUUUGUAUAAUUUAAUUAACUGAAUAUUAAUAUAUGGCUGAUAUAAAAAUUAAGGUUAAUUUUUUAUAGAUGCCUGCAAAUAUAGUAAAUAAUAAAUAUAUUCCUAUAAAGUUUAUCUUUUAUAUAUUGUUCCUGUAAAAAUUCUGAUAUUUUCAAAUAUGUUUGUACCGUUAGAAUUUGUUAGAAAAUUUUAGUUAACUAUAGGUUAAAUACUUAACUUUUGUUAGUUUUUAAUAUUUUUAUCCCUUUUUAUAUUAUACUGUUAUGUUUUUUGGGGAGACAUUAGGACAUAUUUAUGAUUGUAAAAUUGAAAAUAUAAACAGUUUUUUAAUGAUAAUAAAUCAGAUAAAUAUAUUUGUAAAUAUUAGAAUUUGUAAAGACGACAUAUAAAAGUUGAAUUUUGUAUGAAUAUAUUUUUCAUUCACUAUAUUUGUAAGGAUCCGUAUGAAAUUAACCCUAAAAAUUAUAUAGUAAUGUUUUAUAAUUGAUGUCACAAUAAUAAUUAUUAUGAUAUCGCAUUAUUUUUAUAUCAGCGAUAAGAUAAUAUUAAGCUAAUGGUAUUCAGUUAUAGAACUUUGUUAUAAUAAUUUAAAAAAUUUAAACAAAAUAUUAUUAUAAUAAAUUAAAGUUUAUGGACCAUAUGUGUAAUUUAGGUUUUUUAAAAAAAAAAAAAAGAAAAAGAAAGGAGGAGAGAGAGGGAGCGUGGGGGGGUCGGGUGGAAAGAAAGGGAGAGAAGGGCGGGGAAAAGGUCCAAAGUGGGGCCCAGAAGGCGCGCCUCCUUGCGUGGGGCCCACGCCGUCAUCAUGCCCGCCGGCUGGAGCAAAGCCCUGCCGGCCCAUGCGGCCCAAACCCAGACUUUCUUCUAAAAAAAAAAUGCUGGUGGGGCCCACAAACCCAACAAAUUAUUUAAUCGCAUGCACCUGGUGUAUACAUCGGAGUAUCGUCAAUCGCUGCGCUGAGGCUCUCUAAUCUACAACCUCCAAAUAAAUUACAUAUUAUCCAAAACUACAGUUUUUAGAAAAAUUAUAUAAUUAAGCAUCUCGCAACCAGAUAUGAGGUGGUUAUUUUUUUCCAGUCGGAAAAAGAAAAUGUUCUUACUCAGUUUACAUAGAAUUCAACGGUUAAAUAUUAUAUUUUUUACUUUUUUUUUUUAUUUUGUUUGAAAUUAUCAAGUCGAAUAAUCAUGAUAUCGUAGGUUUCAGCAACUACCAUCCCGAUUAGCCAAAAAAACUAUAUUACAAUGGUAAAAAAAUCAGUAGUAUUUACAUUUCGAAAGUAACGUCGCAUCGAAUAAUUUAAAACUUUUCGAAUUUAAAACAAUAGUUCAUAAUUGAGUUUUGAACACCACGGUGUAUACACCUGGUGCAUGCAAUAGUUUCUCUGGGCCUAUGGACCAUUUACCGGGCUGUAAAAUGGGGCCCACCGGGCCCAGUGAUGAUGCCCGAUCCGCGAUUGUGCAUUUUAAUUGACCAAGCGACAUGGGGUCGAGUCAAAAGUGUAACCAAAUCAAAUGGCUCAAAAUUAAAGAUCGAUCCCUUCUAAUACUGGAGAAAUGCACGCGUAAAGAGUGCCACUUUUUAAUUUAAGCACUAGUUAGCAACUGUUCAGCAACUGUUCAGAAGCGAAAAGUCGGAGAGCGGAAAAUUUGUAAGUUUUCUGAACUCAAUUUCGCCUCCUAACCUGCCGAAGUUAAAAAACCGAUCUCCGUACAGUCGUGAGUGAAGGUUCGUAUGAUCUCGAAACAUUGAUGUCGAAAUAAAUGUCCAUAUCUACGACUUUUUCAAAGUGUAAAACUUUUGCCAUAGUAGACACUCUGAAUAAGGUAUUGAGCUAUGAAAUCAAAAGCUUCAAUUUGAAUCCUUUAUGCUUCUGCUACAAAAAUAUAUAUAUAUAUUGAAAGAACUUGAAUAUAACGUGUCUCCUAAAAAUGCUAUUUAAUUUAGCGGCGUUGCUUUCUGAUGCAAGAUCAAGCUAAUAUAAAGCCAUAAAGUCAAAAACUUGAAUUUGAAAAGUAGAAAACUUUGUGCUUUAGCCAAAGUUAAUAAGGGCACUUGAGUAAAAAUCAGCUAACACAUCACCUCUACUCGCUUGCACAACGAAAAUCAGAUAAACUAUAUCACACACACAAACACACACACACACAAAUUGAGAGAUGUAGAAAUCUAAAGAUUGGGAUUAACUGAAAUGGAGUGGGCUUAGAUUGCUCAAAAGAUCAUUGUGAUUCAUAGAAAACGAUUCAGAAAUAGUUUUAGCUUCUAAAUCAAUUAAUAUUCACAAAUAUUUUCCUUUUUCUUGUGUGGAAAAGCAUUGCUGUGUAAAGUAGUGUGGCUUGACAAAAAAAAUAAAAAAAAAAAAAUCCUUCUUAUUU
rnacentral:lncRNA from 1 species